UUAAAAAAAAACACGGCUCUCCUCUCUCUUCUCUACUCUCCUCCCAAAACGAUCGCAGCUCUCAGAAACCCAAAUCACAGAUCGAAGCCCUCCCCUCCAAAAUCGAUCGCGCAUACCUCUAAUUCCCAAUUCAAAAAUCGCUCAAUAAGAGUUCUUCUCCCCCAAAUCAAUCGCCGACUCCUCAAGUCCCCAAAUCAAUCCCCCAAUUUGCACUUUUUGGUUCGUCCCUUUUUUCGCUCUUAUUCAAAGGUUAAAUUUAACUCUAAAGUGGAGUACCUUUUUGGUUCAG
rnacentral:lncRNA from 1 species